UCUGUCUUAGCCCAGUUGGUAGAGCGCGUCACUAGUAUAUACAGGUUAAGGAAAUGCUAUGACGAAGUCAGUCGUUCAAGUCGGCUAGAGGGAA